UACGUAGGGUGCAAGCGUUGUCCGGAAUUAUUGGGCGUAAAGAGCUUGUAGGCGGUUUGUCGCGUCUGCUGUGAAAUUUCGGGGCUCAACCCCGAACUUGCAGUGGGUACGGGCAGACUAGAGUGUGGUAGGGGAGACUGGAAUUCCUGGUGUAGCGGUGAAAUGCGCAGAUAUCAGGAGGAACACCGGUAGCGGAAGGCGGUCUCGUGGGCCGUUACCUGACGCUGGAGGAGCGAAAGCGUGGGGAGCAAACAGG
rnacentral:rRNA from 1 species